ACGUCUACAGGGAUCAAAAGGUGCAGGUUAUCUUUUGGUACCUCAAAUAGUGAAGGCUACAGCAGGGGGAAGAACUUUCUCUUACAAAACCCCACAGCCUUCCAAUUAGUGUUCGGACUCAGACACAGUCUCAGUGUUUAAGUUCAGGCUGAAAACACAUUUGUUUACUUAAACUUACCAUGAAUAGACUUUUUUUUUUUACUCAAAGUAUACAGUCUUAUCUAUUAUGGGAUAGUAAGCAUACCUAACAAUCUCUCCCUCUCUUUACCUCCCUCUCCCUCUCUCCUUCUGUGGAGCCGCACAUGAUAUUAUGGAGAUGCCAGUGAUCCUGACCCUUUCUGCUCUCCGGACCUGCCUGAUCCAUCCUGAUGCCCUAUCUCUGAUGAGGACUGGCGGCCCCAGCAAAUUCAGCCCAAGAGCAGAUUGUCUGAUGCAAAAAGAAGUCUCCAAGAACUCCAAAAUUUCAUCACAGAAUCUGCUAAUAAGCCUCACAGCUGUUGGUGUCAAAGUGCACGCUUCUACAAUCAGAAAGAGAUUGCACAAAUUUGACCUGCAUGGGAGGCGUGUCAGGAAAAAGCCUUUGCAACACUACAGUUUGCCAAUGAGCAUAUAGGCAAAGACCAGGCCUUUUGGAAUAAUGUGCUCUGGACAGACGAAUCAAAGAUACAGUUGUUUGGCCACGGUAACAGCAGACAUGUUUGGCGCAGACCAAAGACAGCUUUUUAGGAGAAGCCCCUCAUACCAACUGUGAAGCACGGUGGUGGAAAUGUUAUAGUUUGGGUUGCUUUGCUGCCUCUGGGAUUAGCAAAUCCUCCAAGGAAUGGCUCCAAAAGAAUAAAUGGAGGGUUAUGGACUGGCCUAGUCAAAGCCCGGAUUUGAAUCCCAUUGAAAUGUUGUGGGGAGAUUUGAAAUGGGCAGUACGUGCAAGAAAACCCUCUUGCAACUGAAAGAAUAUUGCAUUGAAGAGUGGUCAAAAAAUUCCAGCAAGCCGAUGUCAGAGACUGGUGGACAAUUAUGCAAAAUGCCGUAGUUAUUUCUGCUAAAGGGAACUGCUUCUGAUGUCAAGGGUGUACUUUUCUUAAGGUUAAUGAGCUGGGCCACACUCAAAUCUUCUUCUUGGCUACACAUGCUACUCAUAAGCACAUUUUGACACUUGAUUGCAGAGGUCAGAGAUGCACUGUGAAUUGUGGGACCUUAUAUACACAGUUGGGAGUUUCCUUUGUUGUAUGCUUUGGAUCGUUGUCCUGCUGGAAGGUCCACCCACGUCUCAUCUUCAUCAUCCUGGUGGAUGGCAGCAGAUUCUUCUCAAGAAUCAUCCAGUAAAGGGCUCCAUUCAUCGUUCCUUCAAUUAUAUGAAGUCUGCCAGUACCAUGCGAUGAAAAACAGCCCCACACCAUGAUGCCUCCACCUCCAAACUUCACUAUUGGUGUAGUGUGCAAUUUCUUCUCCAAACAUGACAGCCAAAAAGAGACUACACUCUCCCAGUAUUUCAUUGUCUUGUCCAAAUGAGUUGUAGCAAACUUUAAACGAGUUUCGACAUACCUUUUCUUUAGUAACAGAGUCUGCGGGGUGAGUGUGUGUUUAGAGGGCAUGGCGGUGGAGUGCAUUGCCUAUUGUUUUCUCUGUGACGAUGGUAUUUGCUGCCUCCAAGUGUUUCUGGAGCUCUUUCCUAGUGGUCAUUGGCUCUUGGGCUACUCUUCUGACUAUUCUUCUGACUCCCUGGUCAGAAAUCUUGCGAGGAGCUCCUGUGCGUGGCCGGUUGAUGACGGAGUGAUGUUUCUUCCACUUGCGGAUAAUGGCCCCAACGGUGUUUACUGGAAGAUUCAAAAGAUUUGAAAUACGUCUGUAUCCGAUUCCAUCAAUAUGUUUUUGCAACAAUAAGGGUGUGAAGGUCUUGGGAGAGCUCUUUGCUUUUGCUUUCUUGUGUGACACCUUGGUAACGAAAAGCCUUUUUUUAGACCAUCAAUUUACUAACCCAGCUGAUAUUAAUUUGCACAGAUAGGAGGUAUAAUUACUUACGGACUUUGGCUGGUUCCUUGCCUUAACUUGUCUUGGAGAACUGCUUUUUCUUAGCGUGUUCAAUACUUUUUCCUGAGUCAUCCCACUUUAUUACACAUAACUUUAUUUAUGGACUUUAAAGUUGUGAAUUAGUUAUAUUUCCAGAUUUCUUGAGUUAAUACUGAUGUCUGGUAGAAAUUUCCUGGGAAUAACCUCAUUGGAAAUGUAUAUACAGAAUUUUUUUUGACGCGUCUAAUAUUUAUUUCACUCACUGUAUACACAUACACACACAGACACAUACAGACACACACACAGCAACUUUACAAGAGACAUAGUAAUCCCAUGCGCAAGUCACUUUACAUGUUCCUACUGCUGUUAAGGACUGUUUACUUUUUCGAGAAUUUUACUGUGAAUCAAUUUGGGUUUCUGUAGUGUUCAGUGUAUUGUUUAUAGAAUAGUUUGUUUAGUGGACAGUCUAUUGUUUGCAAUUGUUGUAUUGAUUAUCUUUGCACUGUCUGUCUCUGUACUGAUCUUCUUAUCUUUGCAUGUUUAUGUUUUUUGUUUCAUUGUCUCAGUAUUGCACUGUGAUUCUGGGGGAACUAUAUUACUUUCCCAACAUUACAGUGGUCUGUCAUGAGAGGAAUGACAAUAAAGCCUACUUGAACUUGGA